UGUCACAAGGCGCUAAGUUUUAACCAUAAGUGUUAAAUGAUUUGACAAAUUACCUCUGGGAAAGAAUCUCGCUUUGGAUAACUUUUAAACAGGAAAAGGGGAUCAAAAAGGACUAAGCUGAAUUUUAAUUUUGUGUGAAAUUACAGCGGGAGGCUGCCGAGCGGCUUUUGAACGCGAUGCUGUUUGUGUAAGGUUGAGCUAGCAUGCUAAGCUAAGUGCUAGCCCAAGCUAAGUUAAUGUUGGAGCGAUAGAGAUUGGCUUCUGUAGACAUGGCAGCGGGAACAGGAGGAUCUUUGGAAGCCACACUGGACAAGAGGUUCAGAGGUCUGACCAACACGAUGGACUCCAUCCAGGGACUGUCAACAUGGUGCAUAGACAACAAGAAGUACCACAGCCUCAUUGUGCGCCAGUGGAUGAAGUGUUUGAGGAAAUCUAACGCCUCCCACAGACUGAACCUGCUGUACCUCGCCAACGAUGUCAUUCAGAAUUGCAAAAGGAAGAACGCCAUUAAUUACCGCACUGCGUUUGCCGAGGUGCUGCCAGACGCCUUCCAGCUGGUCAAACUCGAGGGUGACCCCAAGACGAUUAAAUCUGUGGAGAGGAUUCUGUCCAUCUGGGAGGAGAGGGACGUCUACUCGGGGACGCUUGUUUCUGACCUCAGGAAUAUCCUGGUCAAAGAAGAGUCGCCCCCCGAGACACCUGUGGAGCAAAAAACUCCAGUUGAGUCUAAAGCUGAUCUGCGAUCCAAGGUUGUUGCUGAGUUUGUGCCUCAAGCCUUUAUCGACCAGCUGACCAAGUACAAGAGAUCUCUGGAGGAAGUUGACAUCAGAGAAAAACAGCUGGCUGCCAUGAGGGUGGACAUCUUCAGCUCCGACGCUCUCAGGAAACUCAAAGAUAAAGCAGGAGGAAAGAAGUUCUCCAGAGACUUUGAGGAGGGAAGCGCUCAGCUGCACGAGUUUGUCAAGUUUUUUGAGAAACAAAGCAAAACCGCCCCUGCGCUUCUUGAAGCUCUUGGGAAUGCAGACAUCUUCUACGAGAUGCAGUACAAAGAGGUCAAAAUUGUUGCUAAUGCCUACCAAACCUUCGCAAACCGGGUUUCCCACCUCAAACGUAAGCUGGACGCCCUGAAGUCCAACUUGCCGGACCUGGACGAGUCGCCCAUACCUUCGCCUACCGCAGACGCUCCGUCUCCGACAGGAUCCGAGUCUCCGUUCCAUGGCCUGGACUUGGCCAACCCUGAUCCAGACCUGGACGGUUCGGUUAUGGAGGACGACGCCGAACCUCCGGCCCCGAGUCCUCUGUCUUCUCCUGAAGCGUCCCCAAGACAGCUGGAGCCCAUUGGGGAGGACGACAACCGGGAAGUGGAGGACAUGGAGCUCUCUGAGGACGAAAUGGACAGUGGUGGGAUCAUAGUUGAGGAGCAAAAACAAUCCCUCACCCAACCAGUGGUUUCUACUCCAAUCCCUGCAAAGAGUGAGCCACUAGCAGCAACCGAGCUGCCGGUCAAAACUCCUGCAGCUUCUUCUGCAGCUGUUCCUGGAGAAACUCCUGCAGCUCUUUCUGCAACCAUCCCAACAACUGUUUCCUCUGCUGUUCCUCCGCUCAUCCCUUCACCUGCAGAUGUUCCCACAAGCAUCCUUUCAACUGUUCCUGCGUCUGCUCCUGCGUCUGUUCCUGCAGCUGCCUUGGAAAGUGUUGAUUUGGGUGAAAUUGGCUCCAUCCUCAACAGCUUGGGCCCAGUCAUAAACACUACAACAGCUGCAGGGGAGAAUCGUCCUGCAGCUCCACCAUCAUUACCCAAACCCGCCGCUGCUUUAGUCCCUCAGGAUGCCAGCUCCCUGGUGAACAUCCUCUCCAAGGUGGAUGUGAGUCCUGCAGACCUUCUGAGUGCCCUGUCCAAAGUUCAGAGCCAAAGCAGUUUGAAGGGAGUCACUCCUCUACUGUCUCCAAACAUGGCUCCAGACCCGUUCCCUCCAGGCAAGAUUGCUUCCUCUCACCCGUCCUCAUCUGCAUCAGCAGCACCUCCUCGGAGCACGUCUCUCUCCUUUCCGCCACCUGUGCAUUCUGCACAGCAGAACUCUCAACCAGCCCCCAAAGCCUCCGCUUUGGUCCAGGCUCUGCACAGAAAUAUGGAUUUGAGUACCGAUCCAGAACCGUCUAUUUCCUCGACAAGCUUAGAGUCGAAAAUACACAAUUUCCUGCAGGGGAACCCUGCGUUCAGUGUGUUCGACCAGAGUUUUCCAACAAACCCGGCAGCGCGAGGGCAGAGUUUCAGCCCCGUAACGGGCACAGACAACCAGGGGGGAACGCCAGUGAGGGACGAGGGAGGAGGCACUCCCACUCAAGAUGAGAUCAUGGACAAGCCGGUGGCGGUCCCGUUCCCUUCUGGGAAGAAUCUGUCAUCUGCUGACGAAGCAGCCAAUGCUCUUCCUGUAGCAUUUGAGAAUAAGAAUCCAAACAACCCCCGACAUGUAGCCCACCCGCUUCCAGGCUUGGCUCAAAACGGGCAGGUCUUCCAGCCCUUCCCCUUUGGCAAUCAGGAGAUGUUGGAGAGUGGGAUUCCUGCACCAGCUACACAUUAUCAGCAUGUUGCCAUGCAUCCAGGAGGUCCUGGAGCUGCAGGUGGCGCUGGGGGCUCACAGACAAUUGAGGGCUUUCAGAGGGCAAACGAGCAGAGUUGGUUUGGCGAUCCCCAUCCUGAAGGGAGCUCUCGGCAGCCUGGCGGCUACAACAUGUUAGCGCCAGGACUUAGAGACAACACAACAGGACUGUACCCCUACCAACAAGAGCAAACACCUGAGCAGCUUCCGCCCGUCGCCCCCGCUUUGUUCAGACCUACUCUUCCUCCAGUCCCAAAAGUACCGCCCCCUCCACCACCACCUACCUUCGAACCCCUGCUGACGCCGCCAAUGGGCGGUCUGAUGAACCCCCCACGGCAGGAGCCUGCCACCAACAUCGGGAGCAGAGGCGACAGCUUCAGCAACAUGGUGGUUCAUGACCAUCAGCAUACGUCGCUGCAUCACCCGGAUGAUCUGUUCCAUGACCCGCAUCGCCCGCAGCAACCUCACCAGGAGGAUAUGCGCUACCAUGAUGAUGAGCAUUUCCUCCAUGAUGACUCCUACUAUCCACCUGAUGAUGCGUAUUUCAGACCGGGGAGUCCUCCUCGCCCUCCUCCUCCUCACCUGUAUCCACGAGGCCGAGGGCACCUCUCUCCCCCACUCUCCCCUCCAAGGGACCCUUACUUUGCCCACGAGCAGCACAACGCCCCUCCUCCACGUCAGUUCGCGCCGAGGCGGCCGCUUCCUCCUCGCCACGAUAUGCGACACCCUAUCCAGCGGCCCCCUCCGCCUCGGCCCCCACACCUACCCCGGCAUCCGCCCCCCAGAGGCCCGCCUCGCUCGCCCUUCCCUCAUUUCAACGGCCCCGACCCGAGGUUCAGAGGCAAGCGGCCCGGCCCGAGAGGAGGGGGUCCCAUGUUCCCUCCGAAAAGACCCUUCCCGCCCCCGCGGUACUGACAGCUCCGACUUGAACCAGUAGCUAGUCAAGAGAGUUGAAGUCCAAACUCUGUCAAAACUGUGCAGAUCCCAGUGAGCAUCAACGGACAGUUCAGAAACCCAGAUGGAAAAAAAUGGCGGCGAAGAGAUGGAAAAUCGGACAAGAUCCCGGAACGCUCCGAGAAGGCUGCUGAGCUGUGAAGACAGAAGAUUAAAGAAAAUCAGAGGGAUCCAGAGCCACUUUGAUGUGUCUGAUGUGAUGGGAAAGAAGAAGAUGAGAAAAAAAAAAAAAAACUCUGCUCUGCCACAUGUUAGCUGAUGGAAGUGAGGACUUCUUUGAAUCCCGCUCUGCUCCCGGUGAUGAUGACUCUUCACGGUCUGUAACGAAUGCUGAGCGCCGCGGCAAGCUGAGCAAGCUCCCGAGUUUCCAGCCCUUCAGAAACCACAGUGAGUGUCAAAAGUGGGGGAAAUCUAAACAGUCGAAGAUACGAUAUAAUUUGGAGUUGGGUGUUUCUAGGUUUUCCUGGGUUCGUUUUUGGCUUGCGUCGAGUUUGGUUGGUGUUUCCAGGGCUGGCCCACAGUUUUAUGGUGAAAACAAAUUUUGCUCGACUGUGUUUUGUCUCUGAAGUCGUUGCAUUAAACAAUAAUAUUGUCAUUCUGAAGCCAUUAUCAACCAAUAUUGUAAGUGCAUCCAAAAGAUCAACAAACAUUAAUUUCUAAUGAACAUUUGACUUUUUAACGAGAAGACAUUUUGAAUAUCUAAAGUAAAUGAGCAAAACAAUUGAAACAACAAAUAAACUGUAUUAUAUAGGCUCUAUAAACACGUAUUCAUCUUUAGGCUCAGACUUUUGUAAAAUAAACUAUUUUGUACCAUGUGUCAAAUGUUUGCAGCAUUUGUCAAAUGGUGACUUUUCUAUAUUUUGAAAGGGUAACAUCUUUUUAAUGAUUAAACAAACUACGCAAACAAUGGAAAUGAUUGCUCUCCUGUCAACUUAUUAUGCAAUCAAUAGAUUUAUUGCUUACUAUGACAAACUUCCUUACGGGUCCUCAGGCAGAUUUAGAUCUGGAAGUCCACCACAAAUCCAUCCUUUCAAGUUGGAGUUUAUUUUUUAAAAUUGUAUGUACAGCAAUUAUAAUGGUCAGGUCGCGUUAUUAUCAAACAAUGUUUCUUGUUAAAUAUCGGUGGAGAACUUUCAAUCAAGAGAUUUCUCUGGAUUUUCUGUACCAGUCAGAGGAAACUUCGAGAUGCAUCUCUAAGGGGAAAACCUGAAAAGAAUCACUUUAGGAUCGUGGAGCAGCUUAGCUUUGCAUUGCCAAGCGGGAUCAGAACAUUGGGCUCAACAAAGAAGGAGAUGUUGGCGAUCUAAUGCUUUGUUCAGUCAGUAGGAUGCAAAUAUUUCUUUCUAUUUU